rnacentral:rRNA from 1 species
CGGCGAGUGAGCGGCUAGCUCAAUUUGAAUCUGGUACCUUCGGUGCCCGAGUUGUAAUUUGGAGAGGGCAACUUUGGGGCCGUUCCUUGUCUAUGUUCCUUGGAACAGGACGUCAUAGAGGGUGAGAAUCCCGUGUGGCGAGGAGUGCGGUUCUUUGUAAAGUGCCUUCGAAGAGUCGAGUUGUUUGGGAAUGCAGCUCUAAGUGGGUGGUAAAUUCCAUCUAAAGCUAAAUAUUGGCGAGAGACCGAUAGCGAACAAGUACAGUGAUGGAAAGAUGAAAAGAACUUUGAAAAGAGAGUGAAAAAGUACGUGAAAUUGUUGAAAGGGAAGGGCAUUUGAUCAGACAUGGUGUUUUGUGCCCUCUGCUCCUUGUGGGUAGGGGAAUCUCGCAUUUCACUGGGCCAGCAUCAGUUUUGGUGGCAGGAUAAAUCCAUAGGAAUGUAGCUUGCCUCGGUAAGUAUUAUAGCCUGUGGGAAUACUGCCAGCUGGGACUGAGGACUGCGACGUAAGUCAAGGAUGCUGGCAUAAUGGUUAUAUGCCGCCCGUCUUGAACACACGGA